rnacentral:lncRNA from 1 species
UGCCAACUUGGAUGUCUGCCGAGUUCUACACAUAGGUUUUGAAAACAACUUGACUGUUUGGGGUUUGAACUACUUUCACAAAAAUAUGCAGCCUCUGAUAACCUGCCCAAUACUACAACUUCGAAAGACUGGUCCCCUUGUGGAAAAUAGGCAUGCUUUCUUCAAAUGGAUGGGUGUUGAAAUAUGCCUAGCCUUGAAACGUGUGUGUUUAUUAAUGAUGAUGACGAUGAAUAUUAUUAUUGACCUAAUAUUUAACUAUCGAUGAACUACAGUUCCUCAUCCCCAUACUGUUAUUUAUUGUAUUUAUUUUGCUCCUUUGCACAGCAGUGUCUCUACUUGCACACUCAUCUUCUGCACAUCUAUCACUCCAGUGUUUAAUUGCCAUAUUGUAAUUAUUUCGCCACUAUGGCCUAUUUAUUGCCUUACCUCCCUUAUCCUACCUCAUUUGCACACACUGUAUACAGAUUGUUCUAUUGUAUUAUUGACUGUAUGUUUGUUUAUUCCAUGUGUAACUCUGUGUUGUUGUUUGUGUCGCACUGCUUUGCUUUAUCUUGGCCAGGUCGCAGUUAUCAUUAACGACCACCUGCAACAUUAUUCUAUGAUUCCAUGUCUGCGUCUGAAAUGUUUCAUCUCCAUUUUAGUAAUUUAGCCGACACUCUUAUCCAGAGUGACUUACAAUUGGUCCAGGUCAAAAGUAGUGCACUAUAUACGGUAGUGUGACCUCUACUGCGUAACAUUUCAUUAUGUUUCAGCGUGAAAAGUUCUCAAGGGCACACAAAUCCAAAAUAACGUAGGCCUAUGCCAUUGCAAAAUCGAAUGCUUCUAACUGAAUUUUAACCUCAUCUGAGAGUCACGUUAUAGGCCUACUGUCCAUAACGUAUACUUGUUGGAUGGAUUGGCUGUGCAUUAGUGUCUAAUGGUAGGCUAGCUGUCUAGUGUCCCGUGUGGCUCAGUUGGUAGAGCAUGGUGUUUGCAACGCCAGGGUUGUGGGCCAGUACGGGGGAAAAAUAAUUUAAUUUUUUUUAAUGAAAUGUAUGCAUUCACUACUGUAAGUCGCUCUGGAUAAGAGCGUCUGCUAAAUGACUAAAAUGUAAAUGUAAUGUGCCAUCUCAGACUCAACCCAUGUUUGCCUAGUUUGCCUGACUUGCCUAGUUAAAUAAAGG